GGUCCAGCAUGGUAUAGUGGUUUGAGCACUGGACUAUGACUCUGGAGAUCAGAGUUCAAUUCCCUGCUUGGCCA
rnacentral:tRNA from 1 species